UUCCUAUUACAAUUUACCUAUUUAAACUUCAAUCAAGUAGUGUUAAACUCAACUAAUUAUUAAGAGUUUUUGCAGGAGGACAGAGAAAAACCCAAAGUUGAAUUGGAAAUUCCGGCACUGUCAGGUGCUAAAAGCAAGAUAAAAAUCAGUCGAUUAACUAAGAUUCAGCAAAUUGAAGCUAAACUUAGAAUGAUGGAAGAGAGUUCAAAUGAGUUCCAGCCAAAAGAUGGACCGAGUGGAGUUGGUAACAGUCAUCCUGUACGAGCCUUUAGAGAAAAAAGUACAAAACCCUACAAAAGGCCUUCCCAACGCAGAUAACACACAGUUUUGCUUUUGCAUUUUAAAUUUAAGGAUAUAACAUAUGUAUUUUUAACAAGGAAUAAGUGUGUACUUUUCUUGAUGUAUUGUAUUAUUGUGUAAUUACAAAAUAAAGAUGAGUGAGUUUGUGUUGUACCAAAA